UUAAAAAUGUAUUCUUUAGAUGCGUUAUACAUAAAAUAAUCUACUUUCAGCGUGCAUCGAUUGUUAGAUGCUAAGAAGAAUGAUCAUUCGAAGGUCCAUGCGAGUUACUACGUCACUUUCCUUUUGUACUGCGAAAAGUAAACUUGAAUAUAUGCUCUUUCCGUAUCGCUACAUUUAAUCAUCAUAUAGAUAAAGAAUUCAUUGCAAUCGCGCGCAUAGCAAUUAAGAAAUCAAGUGUUUGUAUCACUAAAAUUAAAAUAUCGUAAAGUAGAAACAGUGUUUGCUCGUUCACGUUUCUAGAUUUAAACAAGUGUUUCUGCAUCGACUGCAUGCAUUUAAUGACUGACACAUUUUGCAUUUUUAACAGUCGCACAGACUGUAUAGAAGAUAAUGGAUUUUUAUGAAGUAAAUUCAGUGACCAUUCUUUAAUAAAUAACUACCAUGAAUUAGAUUCGGUGGAUUAUUGAAAAAGGAUCUCGACCAACUUCAACGUCGACCUACCUCAUUUUUAACCACCUAUAAAUCAUCCAAUCUCAAUUUCGACCUAAAUCGCGGACUAGUGUUUUGGAGUUAUCGCAAAAUUUCUUAAGUAGUAAAUGACUUUUUAAAUAACUCUGAUCACUCAAUUAUGUUAAAGACGAAAGGAUCGAAUUGGUUGUAAUUAAUUAGUAGAAGAGUAUAGAGUGACCAUGAAUACUUUUUUUCGGAAUAACGUGCUUAAUAGAACGUUAUGUCUGAAGCUGACGGUGUCGGACGGUGCAGCUUUCUAUAAACAGCGUCUCACCCACCUCCUAUUAGCUAAGAAGUCUGAAGCUCCUGAAGCGGAAAGACAUCUCGGUACGCGGAUUUUAGAGUCACCGCUAGCCCAUGGAUCUCUAUAUGCAGCAACCUCCACGCGGUGAGAUCUGGGUCGAUACUACUUGCGAUAUAUAGAAUUUUAAACUUAAAUCAUAUGCAAAUAUAUGUUAUAACACAAAUACUACCGAGCGAAUGGCUGCACAUCUUUAUGCGUUUCGAAAAUGUUUUUCUUUCAUAUUUUACUAGAUAUUGAACUACUCUCAUUUUACAUGGUUAAUCAUACGUCAAUAUAUAACCAGAUUAGAUUUUUUUUGUUAUUAUUGGAGAUUUAGAUUUUACUAUAUUUUUCAAAUAACAAUAAUCAAAUAAUAUAAAAGAAUAGAAUUGUUAACCUGUAGAUCUCCAUAUAUAGUAAUCUCCACAUGGUAAGGUUUGAGGUUACUUGAUAUUACUUUUGAUGUAAUGUAUAUUGUAUUUUAUAUUUUAUGCAUUCCAUCACAAGUGAUAUGGAAUGCUUAAAUAUUUUUUAAGUAUUUGUUUAUCUGUUGUAAAUUUAACUAGAAACAAAAUAUAUAAAAUUUGUACAAUUAACGAACACUUUUCAAUUAAUCUGAGAAGUAUAAUUUAGAAUAUCAAU